GAUGAACGCUGGCGGCGUGCCUAAUACAUGCAAGUCGAGCGAACUGAUUAGAAGCUUGCUUCUAUGACGUUAGCGGCGGACGGGUGAGUAACACGUGGGCAACCUGCCUGUAAGACUGGGAUAACUUCGGGAAACCGAAGCUAAUACCGGAUAGGAUCUUCUCCUUCAUGGGAGAUGAUUGAAAGAUGGUUUCGGCUAUCACUUACAGAUGGGCCCGCGGUGCAUUAGCUAGUUGGUGAGGUAACGGCUCACCAAGGCAACGAUGCAUAGCCGACCUGAGAGGGUGAUCGGCCACACUGGGACUGAGACACGGCCCAGACUCCUACGGGAGGCAGCAGUAGGGAAUCUUCCGCAAUUGACAAAAGUCUGACGGAGCAACGCCGCGUGAGUGAUGAAGGCUUUCGGGUCGUAAAACUCUGUUGUUAGGGAAGAACAAGUACAAGAGUAACUGCUUGUACCUUGACGGUACCUAACCAGAAAGCCACGGCUAACUACGUGCCAGCCGCCGCCGUAAUAC
rnacentral:rRNA from 1 species